rnacentral:rRNA from 1 species
CGAACGGGAAAUAUUUCAUUGAGACUUCGGUGGAUUUGAUCUAUUUCUAGUGGCGGACGGGUGAGUAACGCGUGGGUAACCUGCCUUAUACAGGGGGAUAACAGUCAGAAAUGGCUGCUAAUACCGCAUAAGCGCACAGAGCUGCAUGGCUCAGUGUGAAAAACUCCGGUGGUAUAAGAUGGACCCGCGUUGGAUUAGCUUGUUGGUGGGGUAACGGCCCACCAAGGCGACGAUCCAUAGCCGGCCUGAGAGGGUGAACGGCCACAUUGGGACUGAGACACGGCCCAGACUCCUACGGGAGGCAGCAGUGGGGAAUAUUGCACAAUGGGGGAAACCCUGAUGCAGCGACGCCGCGUGAAGGAAGAAGUAUCUCGGUAUGUAAACUUCUAUCAGCAGGGAAGAUAGUGACGGUACCUGACUAAGAAGCCCCGGCUAACUACGUGCCAGCAGCCGCGGUAAUACGUAGGGGGCAAGCGUUAUCCGGAUUUACUGGGUGUAAAGGGAGCGUAGACGGUGUGGCAAGUCUGAUGUGAAAGGCAUGGGCUCAACCUGUGGACUGCAUUGGAAACUGUCAUACUUGAGUGCCGGAGGGGUAAGCGGAAUUCCUAGUGUAGCGGUGAAAUGCGUAGAUAUUAGGAGGAACACCAGUGGCGAAGGCGGCUUACUGGACGGUAACUGACGCUGAGGCUCGAAAGCGUGGGGAGCAAACAGG